rnacentral:tRNA from 1 species
AGUGAUGUAGCUCAGUGGUAGAGUAUAUGCUUCACAUGCAAAUAGCCCUGGGUUCAAUCUCAGCACCCUUA